AGUGAACGCUGGCGGUAGGCCUAACACAUGCAAGUCGAACGGCAGCACAGUAAGAGCUUGCUCUUACGGGUGGCGAGUGGCGGACGGGUGAGGAAUACAUCGGAAUCUACUUUUUCGUGGGGGAUAACGUAGGGAAACUUACGCUAAUACCGCAUACGACCUACGGGUGAAAGCAGGGGAUCUUCGGACCUUGCGCGAUUGAAUGAGCCGAUGUCGGAUUAGCUAUUUGGCGGGGUAAAGGCCCACCAAGGCGACGAACCGUAGCUGGUCUGAGAGGAUGACCAGCCACCCUGGACCUGAGCCACGGUCCAGCCUCCUCCGGGAGGCAGCAGUGGGGAAUAUUGGACAAUGGGCGCAAGCCUGAUCCAGCCAUACCGCGUGGGUGAAGAAGGCCUUCGGGUUGUAAAGCCCUUUUGUUGGGAAAGAAAAGCAGCAGGUUAAUACCCCGCUGUUCUGACGGUACCAAAAGAAUAAGCACCGGCUAACUUCGUG
rnacentral:rRNA from 1 species